rnacentral:rRNA from 1 species
CCCUAAGACGAGGAUAACAGUUGGAAACGACUGCUAAGACUGGAUAGGAGACAAGAAGGCAUCUUCUUGUUUUUAAAAGACCUAGCAGCAGGGAUGCUAGGAGGAGCUUGCGUCACAUUAGUUAGUUGGUGGGGUAAAGGCCUACCAAGACUAUGAUGUGUAGCCGGGCUGAGAGGUUGAACGGCCACAUUGGGACUGAGACACGGCCCAAACUCCUACGGGAGGCAGCAGUAGGGAAUUUUCGGCAAUGGAGGAAACUCUGACCGAGCAACGCCGCGUGAACGAUGAAGUAUUUCGGUACGUAAAGUUCUUUUAUUAGGGAAGAAUAAAUGAUGGAAAAAUCAUUCUGACGGUACCUAAUGAAUAAGCCCCGGCUAACUAUGUGCCAGCAGCCGCGGUAAUACAUAGGGGGCAAGCGUUAUCCGGAAUUAUUGGGCGUAAAGGGUGCGUAGGCGGUUAAAUAAGUUUAUGGUCUAAGUGCAAUGCUCAACAUUGUGAUGCUAUAAAAACUGUUUAGCUAGAGUAAGAUAGAGGCAAGUGGAAUUCCAUGUGUAGUGGUAAAAUGCGUAAAUAUAUGGAGGAACACCAGUAGCGAAGGCGGCUUGCUGGGUCUUUACUGACGCUGAGGCACGAAAGCGUGGGGAGCAAACAGGAUUAGAUACCCUGGUAGUCCACGCCGUAAACGAUGAGUACUAAACGUUGGGUAAAACCAGUGUUGAAGUUAACACAUUAAGUACUCCGCCUGAGUAGUACGUACGCAAGUAUGAAACUUAAAGGAAUUGACGGGACUCCGCACAAGCGGUGGAUCAUGUUGUUUAAUUCGAAGGUACCCGAAAAACCUCACCAGGUCUUGACAUGCUUCUGCAAAGCUGUAGAAACACAGUGGAGGUUAUCAGUUGCACAGGUGGUGCAUGGUUGUCGUCAGCUCGUGUCGUGAGAUGUUGGGUUAAGUCCCGCAACGAGCGCAACCCUUAUUGUUAGUUACCAGCACGUAAUGGUGGGGACUUUAGCAAGACUGCCAGUGAUAAAUUGGAGGAAGGUGGGGACGACGUCAAAUCAUCAUGCCCCUUAUGACCUGGGCUACAAACGUGAUACAAUGGCUGUUACAAAGGGUAGCUGAAGCGCAAGUUUUUGGCGAAUCUCAAAAAAACAGUCUCAGUUCGGAUUGAAGUCUGCAACUCGACUUCAUGAAGUUGGAAUCGCUAGUAAUCGCGAAUCAGCAUGUCGCGGUGAAUACGUUCUC